CGUGCCAACUUUCUUACUUCCUCCAUAGGGCCAGCAGAAAAUGAUAUGAAUGUACAGUGAAGUCUCGUCACGUGGGUUCAUCAGCCAAUGGCUGCGCAGCUUCCUAAAGUUUGACUGCUCGGGCUGGUGAGGGGUCGUCUUUUCAGAGGCAUUUAAAUUCCGGGCGCUGCUCCGUCCAGGUGACGCGCACUCCUGGUAGUGCAUUGCAGCUGCCGGUCACAGGCACAGCGCUACGUUGGAGCUCUCACAGAGGUCUGUACCGACACCGGGUGAACUGUCUCUGAGGCACCGAGCGGAGCUCAUGGACGCACCUCAAGCCCUGUGCAAUCUUUUUUCAUACAGCGCCUGUGUAAAAGCAGCAUUGUAAUGAGCAGUCCAGGGAUCAGCGAAGCCAUGUAGCAAGUACACAAAUGCAAAAGCAUUCCCCAUUGUUUCCAAAGAACACGGAAGCAGGCUGUUGAUGGAAGGGGUACUGAUUACUAUGGCAACGUGUGGUUCUUUCUGCACAGUACUUGCAGUGUAGGCAUACAGUAUUCUCCUGGGUCACAGACGAGGAUGGAGAUAAAAUUCGCAGAGAAAAGUAAAAUCAAUGUAAGGAUCAAGGAGCGAUUCUGUGUUCAUAUACUGUUUUAUAUUUUUUAGUCUGUAUGUGUAAAGUUUUUACCAUCCAAUAAAAACAUAUAUUUA